AUUUUGGUUUAAUUUUUGAAAUUUUAUUUUCAUUUUAAUCUUAAAUUUUAUUUAUUUGUUUAAUUAUUUGGGGUAGCUUUGCUACCAAUAAUGUGUGGCCCGAGGGAUGAGUUGACAACAGGGCCCAGCCCUGUGCCCAUCCUCUGGUAUGAGACUCUCCUGGCACAGUAUACCAUCCUGAGGACCAUAGGUCAGGGAAGCUACGCCGAGGUGAAGCUAGCCCAACACCGCCUCACCGGCGCUGAAGUGGCAAUAAAAGUCCUGCUGAAGCGGAAGCAACAGACCUUCCCGAUUUGGCCUGAAGUGGGGAUAAUGAAGAGGAUGAACCAUCCCAAUAUCAUCUCACUGCUCCAGAUUAUUGAAACAGAAGAGAACAUCUUUCUGAUCCUGGAACUGGCUGAGGGACGCGAGCUGUGGGACUGGAUUCAACAAGUCGGCUACCUGCAGGAGAACACAGCCCGGAAGAUAUUCAAACAGAUCGUACAUGCCAUGUGCUAUUGCCAUGACCGAGGCAUAGUGCACAGAGACCUCAAACCAGACAAUAUCAUGGUGGAUGCUACGGGCAAAGUCAAAAUUAUAGACUUUGGCCUGGGUGCUUUAAUCAGGCCCGGGAGGAAGCUUUUUAGGUUUUGCGGUGCCUUACGAUUUGGUGCCCCAGAAUUCUUCCUGCGCCAACCCUAUGAUGGCACCAAAGUGGAUACUUGGAACGUAGGUAUUCUCCUGUAUUUUAUGGUGACCGGGACCCUGCCGUUUGAUGGUUCCACCUUUAAAGAGCUUCAGUGCAAAGUUUUACUGGGACUGUAUGCAGUUCCCUCCCACCUCUCACAAGAGCUGCAGGACAUUAUCCACUGCUUAUUAACUGUAAACCCUACGGAGAGACCAACACUAAAGGACAUUAUGGGGCAUCCUUGGCUUAGGGAAGGAGAUGAGGGUUCAUCAAGCCCAUGUGAUGAGAUGAGCCCUAGCCACCCGGACCCUGCAAUCAUGGCAACCAUGGCAGAGAUGGGAUUCGACCCACGUGACAUCCGGAAAUCUGUACUCCAUAGGUUAUUCAAUGAACCCAUGGCAACCUAUGGCCUACUGCAAUGCCAGGCACGCCAGAAGGGUGACUUCAUUAGGCAAACCAAGGCAAUGCGACCAGGAACAACACUUUUUCCCACGCCCACAGGUCCUGUCGCCUUCCCUGGGUGCCGAAAGAGGACAACUGAUGUGCCAGCCCUUCAGUCCUUUCUCUCAUUAUCCUUGAAAACUGACUCUGCAAAGGACAGCCAGCAGGUAGGGCAAAGGCUCAGAAGAAGUGUCACUGUGCCUAUGAUUGCCCCCCACCACUGCCUGCAGAAGAGGACACCCACUCAUGGUGCUGUUCGGGACCCCACAGGGACACAGCACAGUGGGACUGCAGACACAAUCCAAGGUGCGUGGAGAAGCUGGAAGAGGUGGGCAAGGAGAAUUGGGGCCAGUCUAUUACGGGCCUUCUGCUGCCUGCCAUCCGAGAAGAGAAGAGUCAGGCCCCAAAUGGAGGUAUCCAGGAAAAGACAAGAAGCCGGAGGCUAGCCAGAGGCCGACCAGAGGCCAGCCAGGGGCCAGCCAGGGGCCCUGAGGUCCUGUGAAUUAUGAGGUCAUGGCAUUGGGGGUCAUUCUUGAGUGGAUCAAAUAGCUGCUAAGAGGGACCCACGCAGGAAGCCCAGAAGCCUGGGUGGAGCCAGGAGAAAGAGAAGUCAGGGCAGGAACUCAAGCAAGAACUCGAAGCAGAAACCACAGAGGAAUACUGCUGGCUCGCAUAUCACAGACCCAUGCUUCUGCAACCAAGGCCGACCUGCCCAGGGAACGGUGCCACCCACAGAAGGCUGGGCCCUCCCAUAUCAACGAACAGUCAAGACAGUCUCACACAGACGUGCCCACAGGCCAAUCUGAUCGGGGCCAUCCCUCAAGUGAGCCUCUCUUCUCAGGUGGCUCUAGACUGUGUCAGGCUGACAGUUAAAGCUAACUGGGCCAGUGGCCUUGCUGUCACAGUGUCUUUCCUGCUCUGGUGGGCUGUAUCCUCUAAAUCAGGGGCAAAGCAACCCUCUCCCUUGAGUGGCUUGAGUCGUUUUUGUCACAGAGGUGAGAAGAUUGACUGAGGCACCACCCAGGGCUUUUGUGUUAGUUGCUCUUUCUUGCCAGUUUGCUUUGUGACUUUGUAAAGCCUGUCUCUUCCCUCCACGCCACAUUUCACUUCCACAAUGUUAGUAGCUGCCCUGCCCUUCCUUAUUAUUUCAUUCCAUUUUAAUUUAUUUGAAAAGGCACUCAUCCUCUAUGUUUUCUUGUUUUUCCCUUUUUCUAUUUGUCUUCUGUUUCUCUUCAUGAAGAUAUGAGGUUUUGGAUGGACAGAUCUUGCCCAGUCUAGACUGGGGCACACAGUAGGUAAUCGUUGAACAGAUGAAUCAUGUCAUAUUUUCUCCACCACAGAAGAGAGACCAAAUGUGCUGGUUAACUUUAUGUGUCAGCUGGGGUAUAUCAUGGGAUGCCUAGAAACCUGGUUAAACAUUAUUUCAGGGUGUCCCUGGGAGUCUUUCUGGGAGAAAUUAGAAUGCAAAUUGAUGGAGACUCUAACAAAAAUUGACCUCCUUAAUG